rnacentral:rRNA from 1 species
CCUACGGGAGGCAGCAGUGGGGAAUAUUGCACAAUGGGGGAAACCCUGAUGCAGCGACGCCGCGUGAGUGAAGAAGUACUUCGUUAUGUAAAGCUCUAUCAGCAGGGAAGAAAAUGACGGUACCUGAGUAAGAAGCCCCGGCUAACUACGUGCCAGCAGCCGAGGUAAUACGUAGGGGGCCAGCGUUAUCCGGAUUUACUGGGUGUAAAGGGAGCGUAGACGGCAGUGCAAGUCUGGAGUGAAAGGCGGGGGGUCAACCCCCGGACUGCUCUGGAAACUGUACGGCUGGAGUGCAGGAGAGGUAAGUGGAAUUCCUAGUGUAGCGGUGAAAUGCGUAGAUAUUAGGAGGAACACCAGUGGCGAAGGCGGCUUACUGGACUGUAACUGACGCUGAGGCUCGAAAGCGUGGGGAGCAAACAGGAUUAGAUACCCUUGUAGUC